AUAUUCGAUGAUAAAUUCUUUUUAAAUAUCGUUCAGGAAAUGAUUGGCAAGGGUCACGGCAAUAAAGUGGAUCAUACCGUUUCUCGAUCAACUGUUAAAUUAGCUAAUAAAACUCCUCAAAUGGCAACCUUGGACCUAGUUGACCUGGCCGUUCCCUGGGCUUGAAUACUGAUUAGAGGAAAAAACCCAGCUGCACAAGCAAACGAUGACAAUUGGAUCAAUGAAUUGAAUGUUAUGAUCAUUCUAUCAGAUUACCUUUGUUCACGAUACAUUUUUCUCUGAAUAAAC